AGCUUUGCUCAGUGGCAGUAUCGUAGCCAAUGAGGUUUAUCCAAGGCACAAUUAUUGCUAAUUGAAAAAAAAAAAAAAGACUCAUCUAUAUGCUGCCUACAAGAAAUUCAUUUUAGACCUAAA
rnacentral:snRNA from 1 species